GAAGGGAGCGGGCGGGUGAUCCGACUUCCGGACGCCACUGCACAUUGGGGUGUGUUCACUUGAUAUAUAGCAGUCAGACCGCCUGGCAGGAGAGAGUGCGGAGGCGCUCCCAAGCGGGAGGGCAGAGGAUGGCUCCGGAGUCCGGCAGCCGCACAUGCAGAUGGAGACUUUGCAGCAGCGUCGGGGCCGUAGCGUGACGGUGUCAUACGUGGCUGCUGCUGCAGGAGAUGAUCGCGGCUGGCAGGUGGGGAGGAGCAACUGGGAUUAUACAAAUGUACAGUUCACUAAAGAGCGCUACAUACAUUAAUUUGUGGACCUACUGGACCUCUAGCAUCUGUCAGGGAAGGACACUAGUACCCGGAGUUGCCGGGAAUAUGCUGGGAGCCAGUGAAGAGAUGGCGGAGAGUCGCUGCAGUGAAUGCGGGCACCAAACCAGAGGUGGCCCGCGACGUUAAAAUCCCAAACAAUGAGCAGAAAAUUAAAAGGUACUAAAACA